CGUUAACGAACGAGACCUUAACCUGCUAAAUAGCCCGUACUGCUUUGGCAGUUCGCCGGCUUCUUAGAGGGACUAUCGGUGUGUAGCCGACGGAAGUUCGAGGCAAUAACAGGUCUGUGAUGCCCUUCGAUGUUCUGGGCCGCACGCGCGCUACACUGAUGAAGUCAACGAGUUCACAUCCUUUAUCGGAAGAUAUGGGUAAUCUUUUGAAACUUCAUCGUGCUGGGGAUAGAGCAUUGCAAUUAUUGCUCUUAAACGAGGAAUCCCUAGUAAGCACAAGUCACCAGCUUGUGCUGAUUACGUCCCUGCCCUUUGUACACACCGCCCGUCGCUACUACCGAUUGAAUGGCU
rnacentral:rRNA from 1 species